rnacentral:rRNA from 1 species
UACGAAGGGAGCGAGCGUUGUUCGGAAUCACUGGGCUUAAAGCGUAUGUAGGCGGUCAUUCAAGUCAGGAGUGAAAACCCGGGGCUCAACCCCGGAAUUGCUUUUGAAACUAGAUGACUCGAGUCCCGGAGAGGUUGGCGGAAUUCCGAGUGUAGAGGUGAAAUUCGCAGAUAUUCGGAGGAACACCAGUGGCGAAGGCGGCCAACUGGACGGGUACUGACGCUGAGGUACGAAAGCGUGGGGAUCAAACAGG